rnacentral:rRNA from 1 species
GACGGAGGGUGCAAGCGUUGUUCGGAAUUACUGGGCGUAAAGCGUACGUAGGCGGCGGGUUAAGUCGAAUGUUAAAGCCUGGGGCUCAACCCCAGAGAUGCACUCGAUACUGGCCUGCUAGAGGGCGAUAGAGGAAAGCGGAAUUCCCAGUGUAGCGGUGAAAUGCGUAGAUAUUGGGAGGAACAUCAGUAGCGAAGGCGGCUUUCUGGGUCGCACCUGACGCUGAGGUACGAAAGCGUGGGGAGCAAACGGG